UACGGGGGAGCAAGCGUUGUUCGGAUUUACUGGGCGUAAAGGGCGCGUAGGCGGUCAGCACAAGUCAGUUGUGAAAUCUCCGGGCUUAACUCGGAAAGGUCAACUGAUACUGUGCGACUAGAGUGCAGAAGGGGCAACUGGAAUUCUCGGUGUAGCGGUGAAAUGCGUAGAUAUCGAGAGGAACACCUGCGGCGAAGGCGGGUUGCUGGGCUGACACUGACGCUGAUGCGCGAAAGCGUGGGGAGCAAACA
rnacentral:rRNA from 1 species